rnacentral:rRNA from 1 species
AUUGAACGCUGGCGGCAUGCUUUACACAUGCAAGUCGAACGGCAGCGCGGGCUUCGGCCUGGCGGCGAGUGGCGAACGGGUGAGUAAUGCAUCGGAACGUGCCCAGUAGUGGGGGAUAGCCCGGCGAAAGCCGGAUUAAUACCGCAUACGACCUGAGGGUGAAAGCGGGGGACCGAAAGGCCUCGCGCUAUUGGAGCGGCCGAUGUCGGAUUAGCUAGUUGGUGGGGUAAAGGCUUACCAAGGCGACGAUCCGUAGCUGGUCUGAGAGGACGACCAGCCACACUGGGACUGAGACACGGCCCAGACUCCUACGGGAGGCAGCAGUGGGGAAUGUUGGACAAUGGGGGCAACCCUGGUCCAGCCAUGCCGCGUGCGGGAAGAAGGCCUUCGGGUUGUAAACCGCUUUUGUUCGGGAAGAAAUCCUCUGGGCUAAUACCCCGGGGGGAUGACGGUACCGGAAGAAUAAGCACCGGCUAACUACGUG